AUAGUAUCCUAUGGAAAAAUG
rnacentral:miRNA from 1 species